UACUCUUAGCGGUGGAUCCCUCGACUUGUGUGUUGAUGAAGAACUCAGCUAGCUGCGAGAAUUAAUGUGAAUUGAUCACUGACACUUCGGAUGCAGUUGUGGACCGGGAUUCCUCCCAGGGCUAUGCAUGUCUGAGCUUCA
ensembl:rRNA 5_8S_rRNA 5.8S ribosomal RNA